rnacentral:sRNA from 17 species
AGCUGAUGCACAUGGCGGAUUUCCUCCCAGUGCCGCCGCAGCAGCUGUUCCCCUCUGGAGGUUUAAAUUACCUUCACAUCUAAAGGGCCCGAGUUUUCUCGUGGCCCUCUUUU